GUGAGGAAUAUUGGGCAAUGGGCGAAAGCCUGACCCAGCCACGCCGCGUGAGUGAUGAAGGCCUUCGGGUUGUAAAGUUCUUUAGCCGAUGAUUAUAAUGACUGUAGUCGGAAAAUAAGCCCCGGCUAACUUCGUGCCAGCAGCCGCGGUAAUACGAAGGGGGCGAGCGUUAUUCGGAAUCACUGGGCGUAAAGCGUGCGUAGGCGGUUUUGUAAGUUAGGAGUGAAAGCCCAGGGCUCAACCUUGGAAUUGCUCUUAAAACUGCAAGGCUCGAAUCUCGGAGAGGAUAGCGGAAUUUCCAGUGUAGCAGUGAAAUGCGUAGAUAUUGGAAGGAACACCAGUGGCGUAAGCGGCUAUCUGGACGAGUAUUGACGCUGAGGCACGAAAGCGUGGGGAUCAAACAGGAUUAGAAACCCCUGUAGUCC
rnacentral:rRNA from 1 species